AUUAAUAAUACAAGGAAGGCAAUCAGGACCGCGCUGACUCGGCCGCCUGCUUUGUCUUUUUAUCGCCGCCACCAGCAGCGGCACCAUCGUCUUUCUUAGGUCGGGGAGAGAGAAUCUUGACUUACCUCUUGGUCUUCUCUUCAAGCUUGGCUUUGAUUUUUGCUGGGUCCACUUUCCCCGUCACCGGUAGUUUCUUCUCUUUCUCCUUUUUCGGCGGAACCACCUCCACCGCUAUCCUUAGUUCUUUUUUUAGGCACGGUGCCAAGUCCUUCACGUCCAUUGUUCCCUUCACAGUGACCAGAUUCUCCUCGGCGUCCACAGUCACGCUGCGCACACCUGUUUUUAAUUAGCCACGUCAGCCAUCUAUUUUUUACUAUUUUACCACCGACUUUGAAUAUUUAGAUUUAAUAAGUUAGUUUGAUCUAAUAAUCAAAUGUAUAAUUAACUAAUUACCUUUGAUUUUGGAGAUGAUUUUCUCUACAUUUGAAAUGCAACCUUCACAGUUUUCACAGUGUAGCCUGAAUUUCAAAACGACGGUACUCUGCAAGCACCAAGAGUUAUUAAAAAUUAGUUAAAAAAUAAUAACAAUAGAAAACAAAAGGAUAAUCAACGUCUAUAUUCACGAUUAAAUCUUAGUAGCACUAAGGCUCCGUUUGUUUGCAGGAAAGUGAAUUCCUUUUGAAAAGUGAAUUCCGGGGAAAGUGAAUUCCGGGAAAGUGAAUUCCGGGGAAAGUGAAUUCCGGGAAAGUGAAUUCCAGGAAAGUAUUUUCCGAUGUUUGGUAAUGUUAUAGAAAAUGAACUGGAAAACACUUUCCAGUGUUUGGUUGUGUUAUGGAAAACGAACUGGAAAAUAAUUUAUUAAUGAAUUAAUUUUUUUUUCAAGUUUAUCUAAUAUAUAAAAAAUAUUUAAUAUAAAAUAUUUACUCAUUUACAAUAAAAAAUUGAAAUCUAAAAAGUAUAAUGAUGAUUUUUUUUAUUAUAUCCUAUAUUCAUACAUAGCUUAUUUUAUAAAAUAUAACUAUAUAUGUCAUAUCAUAUUAUAGAGAAAUAAGCUUGUAAAAUAUUUUUAAAAGAUAAAUACAUACAAAAAUAUUUUUAUGGUUUUUUUUAAUCCAUAUGUAACAAAUAAAAUCAAACACUAAUCAAUAAUUAAUCAAAGUAAAAUAAAACAAGCAUAUUUAUACAUAUAGCAAAAUAAAGCAAUAAUUGUGGCAGCAAAAUCAUGCGUUUUAAAGUGUUAUCACUUAUCAAUGUUUUUAUAUUAAUUCCCUUUAUUAACAGCAUCUCGGUGGAUUCCUUGUUAAACUUCCUCUUGUUUAUACAUAUAGCAAAACACCGGUUUCAGUCCCCUGUUCCCCUGUUCAGUUUCAGUUUCCUUCCCCUUGUUUAUACAUACAGCAAAACACCGGUUUCAGUCCCCUGUUCCCCUGUUCCCCUGUUCAGUUUCAGUUUCCUUCCCCUUUCCCUGUUCAGUUCUGUUCGGUCUUCCCCCAGUUUCUCUCAUCCCCUUCCCCUUCCCUGUUCGGUUUCAGUCUCUCUCAUCCCCUUCCCCUUCCCCUGUUCAGUUUCUGUCAUCCCCUUCCCCUUCCCCUAUACGGUUGCUCUCGGUUUCUCUCAUUCCCCUACCCCUUCCCCUUCCCCUGUUCCCUCUCAGAUUCUCGGCUAUACCUCAAAAACCCGCUUUUAAUUACCAGAUCUCCUCCCUCUCUCCCCCGACUACUUCUACUGGGAAUUGAAAAAAAAGAGAUCAAAGAUUGAUUAAUUCCUUGAUAUGGUGGCUAAUUGCAGUUAUACACAUUGCCUCUCUCUUUAUGCUUCCACCCGGGAUAUGGUGGCUGGAUCCGGGAGUAGGGACUGCUUUUUGCUGGGGAAGUUCGGGCAUUUUCUUUGAUUGAUUCACAGUAAUCUUCAGGGUAGGGAUUGUUUGGGCAUUUUCUUUGAUUUUGCUUUGAUUUGUGGAUUGUUUGGUUACGGUUCUGCAGGUUGUGUUGAAAUAAGAAUGGAAAAAAAUGUACUUGGCUUGAUUUAUGAAUUUCGGUUGUUUUGAAGGAGAAAACUGUGUUAUGUUACGGGAAAAAUAUGACAGUUAGCAUAUUUAUCAAGAAAAAUAUGUGUAAUGAGAAAGAAAGGAAAGUGUUUUCCUUUGUUUAUCAAAAGGAAAACACUUUCCUCCGCUAAAGUAAUGUUUUCAGUUUUGACCGGAAUUCUAAUUCCGUUGACUAAUUUUUUAUAGUGGUGCCAAACAUGGGAAACUAGGGAAAAUGAAUUCCAGGAAUUGGUUUUCCUGGAAACAAACAAGGCAUAAUUUACUUAUUUAUUUACCUCUAGAGGUGGUUUUUUCGCUUCUUCCUUCUUCCCCUCCGAUUUCUUAUCGGCCUUUUUAUCGCCGCCACCAGCAGCGGCACAAUCGUCUUUCUUAGGUUCAAGCCUGGCUUUGAUUUUUGGUUGGUCCACUUUCCCCGUCACCGUUAGUUUCUUCUCUUUAGGAACCCCCUCCACCGCAAUCCUUAGUUCCUCUUUUAGGUACGGUGCCAAGGCCUUCACGUCCAUUGUUCCCUUCACAGUGACCAGAUUCUUCGCCGCGUCCAGAGUCACGCUGAGCACACCUGUUUUUAAUUAGCCACGUCAGCCAUCUAUUUUUUACUAUUAGAUUUAAUAUGUUAGUUUGAUCUAAUAAUCAAAUGUAUAAUUAACUAAUUACCUUUGAUUUUCAGUACUUUUGAAAUGCAACCUUCAUAGUGUUCACAGUGUAGCCUGAAUUUCAAAACGACGGUACUCUGCAAGCACCAAGAGUUAUUAAAAAUUAGUUAAAAAAUAAUAACAAUAGAAAACAAAAGGAUAAUCAACGUCUAUAUUCACGAUUAAAUCUUAGUAGCAGUAAUUUACUUAUUUAUUUACCUCUGGAGGUGGUUUUUUCGCUUCUACCUUCUUCCCCUCCGAUUUCUUAUCGGCCUUUUUAUCGCCGCCACCAGCAGCGACACCAUCGUCUUUCUUAGGUUGGGGAGAGAGAAUCUCGACUUUCCUCUUGGUCUUCUCUUCAAGCGUGGCUUUGAUUUUUGCUGGGUCCACUUUCCCCGUCACCGUUAGUUUGUUGCCGGCACAAUCUGUCUUCAUACCUUCCAC
rnacentral:lncRNA from 1 species